rnacentral:rRNA from 1 species
GAGAGUUUGAUCCUGGCUCAGAACGAACGCUGGCGGCAUGCCUAACACAUGCAAGUCGAACGAAGUCUUCGGACUUAGUGGCGCACGGGUGCGUAACGCGUGGGAAUCUGCCCUUGGGUACGGAAUAACUCAGAGAAAUUUGUGCUAAUACCGUAUAAUGACUUCGGUCCAAAGAUUUAUCGCCCAAGGAUGAGCCCGCGUAAGAUUAGCUAGUUGGUGGGGUAAAAGCCUACCAAGGCGACGAUCUUUAGCUGGUCUGAGAGGAUGAUCAGCCACACUGGGACUGAGACACGGCCCAGACUCCUACGGGAGGCAGCAGUGGGGAAUAUUGGACAAUGGGCGAAAGCCUGAUCCAGCAAUGCCGCGUGAGUGAUGAAGGCCCUAGGGUUGUAAAGCUCUUUACCCGGGAUGAUAAUGACAGUACCGGAGUAUC